ensembl:lncRNA
CCAGUUUACAGCUGAGCUGAUGAGGUGUGUGUAGUGUAUCAGUGGGGUAGAGUAGGUACCAGUUUACAGCUGAACUGAUGAGGUGUGUGUAUCAGUGGGGUAGAGUAGGUACCAGUUUACAGCUGAGCUGAUGAGGUGUGUGUAUCAGUGGGGUAGAGUAGGUGCCAGUUUACAGCUGAACUGAUGAGGUGUGUGUAUCAGUGGGGUAGAGUAGGUACCAGUUUACAGCUGAGCUGAUGAGGUGUGUGUAUCAGUGGGGUAGAGUAGGUACCAGGUCGGGAACUUAAUGAGCACUGGGAACACCACACACACACACACACACACACACACACACACACACACACACACACACACACACACACACACACACACACACACACACACACACACACACACACACACACACACACACACACACACACACCAUUGAAUUGAGACGGACAUUGCUGAUGCAGGAAAUCCUGUCAAAGACUCACACACAUGCACACACAACAAUAGCAUGCUGAUCACUUGAGCUCACAUUGAUAGCGCCUCCCUACAUUCGCCUGCUAUCAGUAACCCCCCCCACACACACACACACUGACCGCAGACUAGUGCCAGGAACAACCCCAAACACCCACCUAUACCAGCAGCUACAAACUGUCUCACUACUAGCCCUGGUGCUCUCUCUCUUUCUCUCUCUAAAGAUACAAAUAUAUAUUAUAUACCCCCCACACACACUCUGACCGCAGACUAGUGCCCGGAACAACCCCAAACACCCACCUAUACCAGCAGCUACAAACAGUCUCACUACUAGCCCUGGCGCUCUCUCUCUCUCUCUCUAAAGAUACAAAAAUAUAUUAUACACCCCCCACACACACACACUGACCGCAGACUAGUGCCCGGAACAACCCCAAACACCCACCUAUACCAGCAGCUACAAACAGUCUCACUACGAGCCCUGGCGCUCUCUCUCUCUCUCUCAAUUCAAUUCGCUUUAUUGGCAUGACGUAACAAUGUACAUAUUGCCAUUAGCUUACUUUGGAGAUUUACAUUAUUAACAUAGUUAAAAUAAUAAGAAUCAAUAUUGUCAAUGGGACAAGAGUAACAACAAUAAUCAGGGGUCAAAAUCAUCUCUCUCUCUCUCUUUCUUUCUCUCUCAGUCUCUCGGUCUCCCUCUGUCUCUCUCUCUCAGUAUGUAUAGGGACAGGGAUGUACUCCUUAAUGCUUAGCCAGCAACUCCCAUAGCAUGGAUCCAUAUGUACAACCACAUCAGCUAGGAGAGAAAGAGAGGGAGAGAGGGAGUGAGAGAGAAAGCAAGCGAGAGAGAGAGAGAGAGAGAAAGAGAGUAGUCUUUUGUGCAAGGCUGG